UCAGAGGCAUGGGAGAGAUUUAUUUCCUCAUCACAGAAGCAAUCAUUCUGCUCAUCAUUUUAGCGUAGCUGAACAUUCUUAUGAUCCAGGAAAAGAUCAUCAACAUUCACAGGAUUAUAAAGUACACAAAGGAGCUCAUGCAAUCACGCAUUUUUUCAAUCCAAAAGAGGCUGAAAAAGAUUUAAUACCAAGAAUAGAGCUUUUACGUGGUGAAAAGGGAGACACGGGUCCACCAGGUCCCCCAGGACCUGUAGGUCCCAGAGGCGAAAAGGGCGAUUGUUCCUUUUUUGGGAAUCCUCGUUGGAAGAGGAAAGACAGGAGAGAUGAAUGGAUUUUUCCAGAUAUUGGAUCUGGAGAAGGGCCGG